AGCCACGACAGCCGCGGAACAUCACGAUCCACAGGUGACGCCGAGACGAGACGUUUAAGGCCUAAACACAAUGAAAGAGGAUCUCUUUGAUGUGGUACGGGAAUAGUUUCCUUAGGCCUACAAAGUCUGGGAUCGAGAAGUCUUAGCCACUGGCAGAGUGCUUCAUCACGAAGGCACUCAAUCCAUCCGAGGGAUAUCUGCCGGUAAGCCCAUCCUAACGAACAGUGCAUUUACAAUUGCGAAUAUGACUCAAGUCGGUCCAGUUCCAGGUGAGCCGCCGCCGCCUUAUGACUAUGAGAAGGCGAAAGUCCAAACGUCUGAACCCGGCCCACAGCAGGCGGUCAUGCGGCAAGGCGGGCAGGUGAAUGAUGGCUGCUGCAUUUGUUUCAACCGAAACGCGCCAGUCGACAUUGGCAGCGAUGACGACAAUCAAGACCUGUCAUGCAGUUGCCUUCUGCGAUGUCUGUGCUGCUGUUGCGUCUUCAAAUAUUGCAGCAAUGACUGCUGCAAUAACUAACGCGCAUGUCUGGAGGAUUGUUAAUGAUUUUACUCCUCUACAUUACAGCAUGCAUGUUUCCAACUCUUUCUGAGAAGUGAGGAUUCUUAACGAAAUCCUUUUAAUUGGAUUCAAUUUCUUAAUAAAAAACCUAGCUGUUUAGCAUUCAGAUCGAUAACAGCUAAUCAAGAAUUGAUCAGGCAAAUUCUGAAUGAAUUGAAGAUGAGAAUAUUUGAAUUAGUCAUUAGUCUAGCCUAUAAGACGUAAAGUAUUGUUUGCUUUUCUCUAGUUAUUAGUUUUAAAAAUGCAAAUACUAUAGAUUCCAAACCUUGGCAUCUAUAAUGUACGUUUGCUCUUAGAAAUUUGAGUUAACCUAAUAAUGUAAAUUGGUGUCUCCCAUUGUAUGUAGGGCUUAUCUAGUCUCGCUGCGUAGUUGAUUUGACGGUCUAAUUUUAGUUUUGUAUGUGUUUAUGCCUCCUCUUCACAAGCUUUGCAGACAUCCACAACUAAUUGCAAUUUGUAAUAUUGGGAAAUUUUCUUAUUACACUGAAACAGAAUGAGUGGACUAAUAGUUUAAUGACGGUUGGUCAUCGGAGUGAACUAAGUUGCAUUAUGUUUUCAGAUGCAGGGAUGUUACAUUAGUGGGUAUAGCUACGGGAUCCUCAUUAGUUAGCCACGAAAAAAAAUCUGAUAACUUUCUAAAUUUGUUUUGCAUGUUUUCUAAAACAGUUUUGCAUAUUUCUUCAUAUAUUCACAAAGUUUAUAUGAUGUUAUCACGAACUCAAUUGCCAAACUUUCUUUACAAUCUUGGCAAUUUUGUAUGAUUUUUGUUUUUCGAAUACAUGCAAAUGGGUUUCUUCUUUUUGACGUCCGCCUUCGUUUCGUCCUAUAGAUAGCAGAAUUUCUAUCAAGAGUAAACUAUUGUCUUCUUAAUUGUCUGAGUUUGCAACUUAUUUGGAUGUCAGGAUUUUUGGUGUACUUUUUAUUUUUAAAAAAUCAUUAUUUUGAUUCCGAUUCCUGAAAUUAAAAGAUUUCUGCAGUUUUAUCGAGAUUCUUGUUAGGGUUUAUUAAUGCACUCAGUGAUAGCUUUAACUGUUGUAGUGUUGUGCAGUGUGCUAAUUCCUCAUAUUGCCAUAAUUAUCGUUUGUCUUAUGUACUCAUUGUAUCACCUUCAUUUUUUUUGUAACUUUCGAAAUUGUAAAAAUAUCGAUAUUUUUGUAAACAAUAUUAUUGUAUCUCCUGUCAUGGCAAUGUACACAAGUCUAGUUUCCUUUCCUCUUCACAAGUUUUGUAAUGUGUAAUAUUUGUGAACUAGAAAGAACAGUCUGCAUCCAUUUGAUCAUUUGAGUGGAUCACGACCUGAAAACAGAUACAAGGAGAACGGUUAUUCUAACAUUGUACUUGAUUUCGGCGUGCAUGGGUGUGUGUGUGUGUACGGUACUUUAGGAGAAAAUAAUUCCCCCCAAAAACAGACUUUUAAAAAAUUGAGCAUAGUUUUUCGCCCUCUUUUGGUUCUGCCAAAGCCAAAUGGAUUCAUUGCAGUUCAAGUAAAUCUGCCAUUUUGCAAAGUAACUGUGAGAAAUACAAUAAGUCAUAAUUAAAAAGUAGUUAAAUUGAUUUGAAACUUUUUUUGUAAUCAUUAAAUGUCCACCUUUAAUUCA
rnacentral:lncRNA from 1 species